rnacentral:rRNA from 1 species
ACGUAGGGGGCGAGCGUUGUCCGGAGUUACUGGGCGUAAAGGGCCCGCAGGCGGUCGUCUGCGUUCCCACUGACAAUGCUCGGCUUAACCGAGCAGGGUGUGGGAAAACGGGACGACUUGAGGCAGAGAGAGGGACAGGGAAUUCCGGGUGGAGUGGUGAAAUGCGUAGAUAUCCGGAGGAACACCAAAGGCGAAGGCACUGUCCUGGCUCUGAUCUGACGCUCGGGGGCGAAAGCUAGGGGAGCGAACGGGAUUAGAUACCCCGGUAGUCCUAGCUGUAAACGAUGACCACUAGACGUUCGGGGUAUCGACCCCCUGAGUGUCGUAGUUAACACGCUAAGUGGUCCGCCUGGGGAGUACGGUCGCAAGAUUA